rnacentral:tRNA from 1 species
AUUUAAAUAGUUUAAUAAAAAUAUUGAUUUGUGGUAUCAAUGAUAAGAAAUUUCUUUUUAAAUU